AGAACGAACGCUGGCGGCAUGCCUAAUACAUGCAAGUCGAACGAUCACUUCGGUGGUAGUGGCGCACGGGUGCGUAACGCGUGGGAAUCUGCCCUUGGGUUCGGAAUAACAGUUGGAAACGACUGCUAAUACCGGAUGAUGACGUAAGUCCAAAGAUUUAUCGCCCAAGGAUGAGCCCGCGUAGGAUUAGCUAGUUGGUGAGGUAAAGGCUCACCAAGGCUACGAUCCUUAGCUGGUCUGAGAGGAUGAUCAGCCACACUGGGACUGAGACACGGCCCAGACUCCUACGGGAGGCAGCAGUAGGGAAUAUUGGACAAUGGGGGCAACCCUGAUCCAGCAAUGCCGCGUGAGUGAUGAAGGCCUUAGGUUGUAAAGCUCUUUUACCCGAGAUGAUAAUGACAGUAUCGGAGAAUAAGCUCCGGCUAACUCCGUGCCAGCAGCCGC
rnacentral:rRNA from 1 species